rnacentral:tRNA from 1 species
UGUCCAGGGGCGGGAAUCGAACCCACAACCUUCUGCUUACCGGGCAGGUGCCAUGUCCACUAGGCUACCCAGGAC